GCGAUCUUAUAGCACCUUCCAGUACCAAAAGGGGCUACAAGAAAGCUGGGGACAAACCUUUCAGCAGGGCAUGUUGCAGUAGGACAAGGGGUAGUUGUUUUAAACUAAAAGAGGGUUGGUUUAGACAAGACUAAGGAAGAAAUUUUUUAUUUUGAGGAUUGUGAGGCACUGGAACAUACUGGCCAGAGAAGUUGUGGAUACCUGAAAGUCUUCAAGAAAUUAGUUUGCCACAAAAACCUGUAGCAGCAUACCAGUUGUGUGCUGAAGGGAUGGUUGUAGGGAAUCCUACCCAGUGUGAAGAUCAAAGAGGACUGCAUUGUGCUCCUGAUUUGUACAGACACACGUGAAGCUGUCUGCAAUGAAAGCAUAGACAGUAAAUACAAAAAGCUUGAGGGGGAGUGAAAUCUAUCAGAAAAGCUGUGUUGUUUUGCGUGGCAUUGAUUUCAAGAACAUUUUUCUAGUCACCUAAAUAGGACUCUCUACUUUUUCUUCCAUUUAUACAUCCAAGUAUAUAUAAAAAUAAUGCCAAUAAAUAUAUAGUCAGCACUAUAAAUAUAUAGUUUGUGGACUAAGAACUCUUUUUUUUUUUAAUGCAGUUAUUGCUGUUGGUGUAAGUUGCACUAUAUUUAAGCCUUUGAGAAUUGAGGACUUCCAGAACAGCACCUGAGAACACACUUCUAUUCCCUUGCAAGGGAAGAAUUGUAUAUGUGUAAGACAUAACUAAUGUAUGUGUGUGGAGGGGAAAUCUUAUGUGAACAAACUCAUCCAGGGAGAAGUAAAAGUUGAAUCAAUUGCUGCAAACUGUCCUCAGUCUGACACUAAAAUUUCAGGAUACUUAAUUGCAUACCUACUUAGCUGACUGAGAGAAACUUUUACAUCGAAUGUUAUAAAUAGAAACAGCUGACUGAUAAUAUGCAAAAAAUGUAGGCUCUUUAAAAACAGAUGUCAUAUUUCACCAGUAAAGACUUUGUCAGUUAAACCAGCUUUCAGUGAAUUUUCUUCACAAAGAAGUCCUUCACAGCAUGGUGUUAUGUCAGCAAACAGAGUAGAUCUUGGUAUCCUUAGUCUCAAAUCAGAGGCACCUGUAAAUGGUUUGGGCAGCAACAAAAGUAUUUUUCCCUGUGUGUUUAACUUAUUGUGGCUGUUCUGCGGCAUUUCUGCAUCUCAGGAAUUGGAAGGCUACAGAUGUUCCUUGUUAAACACAGCUCAAGCAUGUUUUCCGUGGAGGUUUUCACUUUUUUUUUUUUUUUUCUGGUUUGAAGGCUGGGAGAGUUUCUCAUUGUGACCUCAUUCAGAAGUUGUAGACCUGGGCUUUGUUUGAGGUUUGGGGUUUGUUCUGUCGGGGGGGAGGGGUGUCCUUUUGUUUGACUUCUGAGUUAGCAAUAAGAUUAUGUUGAGGUUACUGUGUGGUUAUACCAGGAGAGCUCACGUUUUCCUCACUUCUGGUUUAAAAUUAAAAAGAAAGCCUCAAAUGCAGGUAAUGGCUAAGCAUUUCUCAUAAGGACUCUUUUCUUCGCCUUGUGUCCUUUCUCACCCUCGCUUGGGACUCUCUUGUGCUAGCCUUUGCUGUUGUGAGGAGCCCUUUUAAACAAGAGUCUUCCGUUCAUAUUCACAGGGCAUGAAUAACACCACUGAAGUUACUUGGCUUUAGUUACUGAAGUCAGUAGGACUGUUUAUCAGUAAAUGCUGUGUUUGGCUGCAUCCACAGCUCAUAGGAUCAGGCAUCAGAGAAGUAAAUCCUUCUGGACAAGGAUUUUCUUAGCUAGCGUUGAAAAGCAUCAUGAUUGCUUCUAGCUCUUCCACAUGAAGGCCUAAAAAUAUUUCCAAACAGUGAUUUUUUUGACAUUUUCCUGAAUUCAAUAUCUAUUACCCUUCAAAUGCACAUUUACAAGGGAGCAUUUUAAAGAAGCCCUUUGUGAGCUCCCUUGUAUAUAGAGCCUCUUAUGAAAACACACAGAUAUAUGCAGUGGGCUUUGGUCUUGGCUGCUCUUAGCAUUAAAUGAAUCCAUCUCUUUUUGCAAAUCUUAUUUAUGAAGACUUUCAUGCUUUUUAAUUUAAUGGUGCAUAUGAAGGGUAGUGACUACUGAUUCCGAACAUUGGGCAGCUCGUGUGUGUUUUGGGCAGCAGGUCCCCUGCCUUUGGGGCUCAGGGUCAAUGCCAAAUUCAGCAGCUUUACAGCAGGAAAUCAGAUUCCAUCUGUCUAAACAUUGUAAAGUUCAUUUUAUUCUCCAGUCAGUUAUAUUUGGGUUACUAGUAAUAAUUCUACUGGUUAGCAUACUUUAAAAAUCUUGGUGCUGUGGCUAUUAGUAUGUUAAUUUCUUGGGGUUUUUUUUUGUGCUUUGGGCCUUUCUUACUGUUGUUGUUUUUAAGGGAUAUG